AGAUAGGGUUCCUUUUCUUUCCAACAAGCCCCUCUUUCAGCCCAGGUAACCCUUAUCUGGUCCUUUGUGCUGGAUCUAACAAAGCUGAAGCUUGUUGACGACAAGUGUAGAAAAGGAGGAAUAACUUUGCUCAACCAUGCCUAUUCUCAACAAAUAAAUAAACUCUGAUUCUUUGGGAGGAAUAUCCAUAAGUUUUGGUGGGUGUACUUGGUAGAAUCUUCAUUGAGCCUGCGUGCUCAACAUGCAAUUUAAAGAUGUGCAGAUAAUGUCACAAGAGAGUAGAAUGUUGUUCCCUUCUAUGAACAAAUAGUGCCUGGUUCCCUGAAAUCAUGUUGAGGUAACUUUUUUUACAAGAUAGAAAAGGCAGGAAUAGAGAGCACCCCGAGAAAGAUUGGUAGUAGAUAUGGGAAGAUUUGAAUAAUGUGGGAUGGACUACUUGUUUACUUUUAUACAGAGACAAACAGGAAGAGUCUGAAGCACCUGCCUGUAUUCCAGAUCUGAGUAAAUGCAUUAAUGAUGCUGCAUAGUGUUCCAGGUGUCCUUAGCGCUCUCACAGGUAUGAAAAUAUUAUGAAUUUCUCUGGUCCUAUUAUAAUGUUAUAUACCAUUGUUCAUGUGGAUACAGCAAAUCACAUUAUUUUUAGCCAUCUGUAUGGAUUUUUGAAUUUUGCUUUUUCUAAGGUCAGCAUAGUUCUUUAAUACAGAAGCAGACACAGACAUCUGCCAUAGGAUUUCACAUGUAUAGAAAUAUUGAGAACUAAUUUUUGGCAUUAAGGUAUGAAUUGGGAUAUACAAGAAGCAGAUAAUUUAGAGAAAAAAUAGUCAGUUUUCAUUGCUAAUGAAUUUCCAAAUAUAAUAAUCAUAUUUAUUCUCUUUUCCUUUUUUUUUGGUAGCAAAUCUGAUAUGCAUUUCCACAGUGAACGCUAGAGAACUAACUAGAGUGAUCCAGUUAGUUUUCACUUACUCCUUUAGACAAAUUAUGGACUUUUUUUGCUCAGCAGCAAUAACCUCAGCAGUGACUUACCAGCUAGAAAUAUUAGCUACAUUUUAUUUCUGAAAAAUUUAGUAGAUUUCUUUGGUUUUGACUAUCUUCUUAACCAUGACUUUCACUUAAGACUUUUAAGUAAUAUUGUUAUUUCAGAAUAUAUUUAGGUCUUUAGCCUUUUUAGAGCUCAUUUCUGCUUUGGCCAAUAACUAAUGUGGAGGUCACUUGCCUUUUUGCUGAAGUCAUAUUGCAUAGUCAUCUACAUCAGCUUAGAAGUGUGAGUGGAUUGCAUCUCUUCUUAUUCCAGUUUGAGUGAGAGGAGUCUUCUAGAAAAGAAUUUUCUCUAAAAUUCCUUUUUGUGAAAUAUGUUGGGAGUCAGUGUUUAUAAAUCUUCACUGCUGAUAAUUUUUGGUUUUAUUUCUAAAAUUGACUUUCUGAUGGAUUAAGUCCUUCAAUGAGUUUUUCGAGUUGUAGUUACAAUUUCACAAUUGUUUUACUGUUCCUGUUUAUUCUGGAAAGAUGUUUCUGGAACAAGUAGAUGGCUCCUACCACCAAGCUAGCUGAGAAUGGGAAUUGAAAAUCCUAUGAAGCACAGAGGCAUCAUUCUGAACAAAUUUGUUUUCAAGAUUUUACUAUAAAAUUAAAAAUGCUUUCUGGAAAAUCAUAUGACUUACUAAAAAGAACUCUUACUAGUGCUCUAAUUCAUCUUCUUGUUUUGUUUCAACUAACUAGACCAGACAGCAACUUUCUUAUUUUUCUACACUUGUGAUAACUCAUGCAGAUUGAUAAUGUAAGUAAAAUCAGAGAUUCCACUUUUGUAUGGGUUUUGGAAUAGAUUUAGAAUAAUCUAUUAUUGAAGCUGUGUAACAAUAACUUCUUUCUAUCAACACUUAAAAUAAUUAUCUACAAAGAUGCAUUUGAGCUUAGCAAUUGAAUUGGACUCCCAUCAUUUAUAUAUAUAUGCAGAUAUAUCCAGUGGUCUGGCAAAUGUGGUUUAAUUUUUUCACAGUGGAUUGUGGUGCUGCUGACAAUCUUCAAGAAGCUCAUUUCUUCAGGUACUCUGACAUGGCUUGAACAGAGCAGUGCAGCUCAGAGGCCUUCCUCUGAAACAUUGAAUCAUUUGCUAUGCUGUAUAGAUGUGGUAAGCACAGUUUGUUCUAGGUGCCCUUGGGUUUUGUGCUUUUUAAAACAUUUUUUUUUAAUGUUUUCAUUGUGUAUCUCUAUAGGGUGAGUUCUUUGUUGGAUUCUCUGUGAAGAUAAAGUAUUUGAUAUGAUUCAAGAUGAGAUGAAUGAAGAAAGAAAGAAAUAAGAAUCUGUUUUGCAGGCAUAUUUAAAUUCCUAAUUUAUGACUGUUUCCAUUGCACUCAGCUGAUUGUGGAUUGGAUCAAUAGACUGCAAUAGUGAUCAAUAUCUGCAAGACCAUGUUAUUGGUCAGUUCAGAUAAAAUAGUUCUGGCUCCAAAUAAUUAA